rnacentral:rRNA from 1 species
ACGACGUCGAGCUACUACGGUAGUGAAGUCAUUGAUGCCAUGCUUCCAGGAAAAGCCUCUAAGCUUCAGAUAGUCAGGAAUCGUACCCCAAACCGACACAGGUGGUCGGGUAGAGAAUACCAAGGCGCUUGAGAGAACUCGGGUGAAGGAACUAGGCAAAAUGGUACCGUAACUUCGGGAGAAGGUACGCUCUUGAUGGUGAAGUCCCUCGCGGAUGGAGCUGACGAGAGUCGCAGAUACCAGGUGGCUGCAACUGUUUAUUAAAAACACAGCACUGUGCAAAAUCGCAAGAUGACG